UUUUUGCUUGAGAAUAAUUUUCCAAAGAGUGUGGGAAAUUCUUGAAAAUUAAAACAAAAAUUUUACAAUUUUGGAUCGAAAAUACAUAUAUUUUUUUUAACAAUUGCAAAAAAAAAAAAAAAACCGCACCAACACACAGAAAGGCUAGGAAAUUGCGUUACACAAGCAAGUGAACAAGUGUACGGGUGUGUGUGAGUGUGUCCGUGAGUGUCGCGUGUCUCUCUCGGCUUCAAUAAUCUAAUAAUUUUUUUUUUUCGAGUGUUGCAACCAAGCAAAAAAUUAAAUAUAUAUGUAUAAAAAAAAAUAAUAAAAAAAAAAAAAAAAGAUAAAGCAAAGAAAGCAAAAUCGAAAGAAAUUUGUUGCAAACAGCAAACAAACACACACACGCGAAAUCGAAUGCACAGAAACGAACGAACUGCAGUCCACGCCUACGCCUACGCCUGCGUCGACGUCAGCCGCGCUGCCAGCGCACAGUGGAGUUAAGAACUGAAUCCGCCAUCCUGUUCUGGCAUUUUUGAAGCGCUGCCAAUAAGAGAGAGAAAAGAGAACUUCCG